rnacentral:lncRNA from 1 species
UCGGGUUAAAGAUCUGGGUAAGGUUAAAUAUUAUGGAUGGGCUCAUCAAAUCAGGUGUAGUUCAGGUUUGGUGUUGAGCUCAGGCUUUGGGCAUUGAUUUGUGAUUGGACCAAGCCGAGCAAUAAUUUCAGUUCGGUCCAAAAAUUAUUCCAUCCUUUUUUGAAAAUCCAUGCCUGGUCUAGAAAUUCUUAGGCCUAAACCAAUGCUUGAUUUGUAGCUGACCUAAUUAUCUAGAAGGAUUAUUAGAUUUGAUAUAGACUAUUUUGACCACUAUAGAGACCAUUAGAUAGGUUACAGAAGUAAGAUUUAUAACAUCAGGAAGUUGAAUCACAUG